UACGAAGGGGGCUAGCGUUGUUCGGAAUUACUGGGCGUAAAGCGCACGUAGGCGGUCUUUUAAGUCGGGGGUGAAAUCCUGGAGCUCAACUCCAGAACUGCCUUCGAUACUGGAAGACUUGAGUCCGGGAGAGGUGAGUGGAACUGCGAGUGUAGAGGUGAAAUUCGUAGAUAUUCGCAAGAACACCAGUGGCGAAGGCGGCUCACUGGCCCGGUACUGACGCUGAGGUGCGAAAGCGUGGGGAGCAAACAGG
rnacentral:rRNA from 1 species